UGCCAGCCGCCGCGGUAAUACGGAGGGUGCGAGCGUUAUUCGGAAUUACUGGGCGUAAAGCGCGCGUAGGCGGCUUGAUAAGUCUGAUGUGAAAGCCCACGACUCAAUCGUGGAACUGCAUUGGAUACUGUCAUGCUAGAGUACAGGAGAGGUAAGCGGAAUUCCUGGUGUAGAGGUGAAAUUCGUAGAUAUCAGGAGGAACAACAGAGGCGAAGGCGGCUUACUGGACUGUAACUGACGCUGAGGCGCGAAAGCGUGGGGAGCGAACGGGAUUAGAUA
rnacentral:rRNA from 1 species